CAAAUAUUUUUCUUCCUUUUAUUUUUGUGAUCUUUUGCUAUAUAAACAACUCCUCCUCAAAGAAUGAUGAGACAACUUACAAUUUACACACUCUGUAUAAUAAGCUCACGUGAGUCCCUCUAUUCUCAGCCAAGCAUUUAUUUUUAUGCAGAUUUAACUUAUAUACGUUGACAACUUAAAUUUUUUUUUUUACAACAAGUGUGUUUUAAU
rnacentral:lncRNA from 1 species